CCUACGGGUGGCAGCAGUAGGGAAUGUUCGUCAAUGGGCGCAAGCCUGAACGAGCGAUGCCGCGUGAGUGAAGAAGGCCUUCGGGUCGUAAAGCUCUGUUGCGGGGGAAAAAAGGCAGCAUGAGGAAAGGGGUGCUGACUGAGGGUGCCCCGACAGAAAGGCACGGCUAACGACGUGCCAGCAGACGCGGUAAUACGUAGGUGGCGAGCGUUAGCCGGAAUGAGUGGGCGUAAAGGGUGCGCAGGCGGUCCGGCACGGCUGGCGUGAAACGCAUGCGCUCCACUCAUGCAUGGCUUUGGAUACUGGUGGACUGGAGCGCAGGAGAGGGCGGUGGAACUCCAUGUGUAGCGGUCAACUGCGUCGAUAUCUGG
rnacentral:rRNA from 1 species